CUUUUCUGCUAUUCAGAGCCAUUCCUGAAUAUUGAUUCUUAUGAGAAGCUGUGCCUGUGACAUAAGCAGCAUAAGGCUGUGUUUUACUUACUGCACUCCUUCUUUCUAUUGGAACCAUAAUAUUUAUGCACUGCAGGAAUGUGAACUAGGAAAGCAAAGUUCAGGAUACCUUCAUGGAUGCAAAGAUCUUGAUGCUCAUCCUAUAUCUAGGAAUGACUACUUUGUUUUUAAAGACAUAUUUGGUAAUAAGGCCCUAAGCCACAUUCAGAGACUCCUAUUACAGUUGUCAUGCUUGUGUCAGUGAACUGAACUCAUCAAUCAUUAUAGCAUCCAGGCUCUUGUAUGUGGGCCCAAUUGAAAGGCACCUUCCCUGCCGUUUAAGCAGGAUCGAUGGAGUGUUCAUACUGUUCCCUGCUCUUCAAAGUAAGUAAAUCUGAUGUGCAUCUUAUAGAAACUGUUACUGUCAAGAAUUCUUUCCUUGUCCCACUCAUUUUCUAUAUUCAUUUACAUGAGAAUGCUGAGAUCUCUACCCAGCUUUAAGAUAAGGAAGGCAGGGGCCCAUGUCUUGCUGAGUCCCAAAGAACAACAGCACCUUAGGAAGAUUCCUGUUCUAUGAGGCACCUAAGUAAGAGCCUGGGCCAGAGACUGAGCAGAGAUAAACAAGAUGUCGAGUCUGAAGAUAGGAAGGCUCCCAGAAACAGUAAGUAAUGCUUUAACUGAGUUGUCAUGAAUUGGAAAUUUCCCUGUGGUUAGGGAAACAGGAGAAAAAGGGAUAGUCAAAAAAGAGAUUAUAUAAGAAGAAGAUACUGAACAUAAAAUGGAUAACUUGCACUUAGUUUUUCAGUGCUUACUGUGUGCUACACACUAGAUGUCUUCACAAGAUGGGGUAGAGAUUGGCUUGAAACAAGACAUUGGGCAGCCAGAUGGUCUUUUAAAACAAUGAAACACAUCAUUUGGUUCUCCUUCAAAGGCAGGUUCCCCUUGUAAACAAAAUAAAAUCCAAAUUCCUUAGCGUGACCUACAAUACCCAAUGUGAUCAGCCCUGAGAAUUUCUACAAACGCAUUUCCUGCCACAUCCAAUAUACUUCAGUCCCUCUGGCUUUUUUUUUUUCUGUUUUACUGGGCAAAUCUUUUUGCUUCUCCAGGGCAUUUGUAUUUAUUGUUUCCUGACCUGCUUAUCCCUUAACUUUCAGGUCUUACCUCAAAUACUUUGAGAAGUCUUUCAUUAGCAUCUUGAGAUAGAAGCCAUCUUUCCCCAACUCAUUGCCCAAGACUAUCUCUGUCCCAUCUCCCUGUUUUACAUAUAAUCCCAUAGUAUUGAAUAAAACUAAAAUGUCUGUUUGCUUUGUAUUAUCUGCUUUCUCCAACAAUUAUAGAAUUGUUAUAGAAGAAGAAAUCUUAUAGAAGCUCUGUGGAAAACGAAACCUUUCUGUUUCUUAGUACUCUAUCCUCAGCAUCUAGAAGACUUGGCAAUCAUCUGUUGAAUAAAGGAAUGAAUCACUGUCACGAGGGUGAGUAAGCUGAGGAGUACUCAUGAUCAAAAGAAAUGAUAUUAUUUUAAAGGGUUUUUCUGGGUAGGGUUUUCCAGAGGAGAAAACUUUAAAGGCUGGGGGUGACUGGGUGGCUCACUUAGUUAAGCAUUGGACUCUUGGUUUCGGGUCAGGUCAUGAUCUCAGGGUUCUGAGAUCAAGCCCCGCAUGUGGCUCUGCACUGGGCAUGGAGCCUGCUUAAGAUUCUCUUUCUUCCUCUUCCUCUGCCCCUCCCCUCAUGCUUCCUUCUCUAAAAUGAAAAAUAAAAAGAAAACUUAAAGUCUGAGUUGAUAAGACAUAAAUAAUAAUCCAUGAGUAACUACCUUAUAAAAGUUUCUUAAGAAAGGAUCUUAAUAUGGCAAGCAUGACUAUCUUCAUUGCAAAUAUAUACCAAUGAAUUCAAAUUUUAUCUGUAUAACACUACUCAUUCUUUGUGUUGGUAAGGCAUGGUAGCUAUGAUGUAUCUUCUGGUGGAAGACAUUUUCCAACUCAUCAUCAUUCCUUCAGCUACUGGCUCUAUGUCAGACUCUCAAUUAUAGGAUUAAUGUAUGUAACAGCUUGAAAGACCAAGGCCAAUCAGAGUGAGUAAAAUAUAUACUAUCUAGGAAUGCCUUACUAAAUUUCUUGAGAAUUUUUAACUAGUAUAUAUUAAUGCAUUAUUUAUAUGAUUUCUUAUUAAAUUUUUAAAAUAAACCCCAGAAAAGCAGAGAGAAUCUUUGAAAAAAAAAAAACUUUUUUCUUAAUUUUUUGAAGUAGACUCCAUGCCCAACAUGGGCCUCAAACUCAUGACCCUGAAAUCAAGAGCCACAAGCUCUAUCAACUAAACCAUGCAGGCGCCCCUUGAAAAAAAAUCAUUCUUUACCCGAUACCUAAAUAUCUAGGAAUUUAUUCUGAGAUUAAAAUUUAACAAAAAUGAAAAUAUAUGUGUGACAAUGUCAACUAUAUCUUUAUCUACAAGACCAAAAACAUACAAGAGAAAAUAUCCAUUAACUUGGUGGACAACUAUAUGGAUAACAA
ensembl:lincRNA